rnacentral:rRNA from 1 species
UGGGGAAUAUUGCACAAUGGGCGCAAGCCUGAUGCAGCCAUGCCGCGUGUAUGAAGAAGGCCUUCGGGUUGUAAAGUACUUUCAGCGGGGAGGAAGGGAGUAAAGUUAAUACCUUUGCUCAUUGACGUUACCCGCAGAAGAAGCACCGGCUAACUCCGUGCCAGCAGCCGCGGUAAUACGGAGGGUGCAAGCGUUAAUCGGAAUUACUGGGCGUAAAGCGCACGCAGGCGGUUUGUUAAGUCAGAUGUGAAAUCCCCGGGCUCAACCUGGGUACUGCAUCUGAUACUGGCAAGCUUGAGUCUCGUAGAGGGGGGUAGAAUUCCAGGUGUAGCGGUGAAAUGCGUAGAGAUCUGGAGGAAUACCGGUGGCGAAGGCGGCCCCCUGGACGAAGACUGACGAUCAGGUGCGAAAGCGUGGGGAGCAAACAGG